ACGAAGCCUUAUCACUUUUCCAUUAAUUUCAUUUAAAUGUUGAAAUGUUGGAAGAAAAAUGACUUGCAUUCCCUUUUCUCUUCAAUUGCUUCUCAACCUUUAAAGCAAGGUGAAGUAAAUCUUCUAGCUCCAUAUAAGGCUGAAAUUCAACCACAUUAGAAAUCUCCUUAUUCAAACCAUUUAGAAAUCUAGCCAUUAUAGCCUCACUAUCUUCCUCGACAGUUGCUCUAAUCAUGGCCACUUCCAUUUCUUUGUAGUACUCCUCAACACU
rnacentral:lncRNA from 1 species